rnacentral:pre_miRNA from 1 species
GGGUCUCUCUAGGUGGACCAGAUCUGAGCCUGGGCGCUCUCUGGCUACCUAGGGAACCCAC